rnacentral:rRNA from 1 species
GACGAACGCUGGCGGCGUGCCUAACACAUGCAAGUCGAGCGAAUGAAGUUCCUUCGGGAAUGGAUUUAGCGGCGGACAGGUGAGUAACACGUGGGCAACCUGCCUCAUAGAGGGGAAUAGCCUUCCGAAAGGGAGAUUAAUACCGCAUAAGAUUGUAGUAUCGCAUGAUACAGCAAUUAAAGGAGCAAUCCGCUAUGAGAUGGGCCCGCGGCGCAUUAGCUAGUUGGUGAGGUAACGGCUCACCAAGGCGACGAUGCGUAGCCGACCUGAGAGGGUGAUCGGCCACAUUGGGACUGAGACACGGCCCAGACUCCUACGGGAGGCAGCAGUGGGGAAUAUUGCACAAUGGGGGAAACCCUGAUGCAGCAACGCCGCGUGAGUGAUGACGGCCUUCGGGUUGUAAAGCUCUGUCUUCAGGGACGAUAAUGACGGUACCUGAGGAGGAAGCCACGGCUAACUACGUG